UACGUAGGGUGCGAGCGUUAAUCGGAAUUACUGGGCGUAAAGCGUGCGCAGGCGGUUCGUUGUGUCUGAUGUGAAAGCCCCGGGCUCAACCUGGGAAUGGCAUUGGAAACUGGCGAGCUGGAGUGUGGCAGAGGGGGGUGGAAUUCCGCGUGUAGCAGUGAAAUGCGUAGAGAUGCGGAGGAACACCGAUGGCGAAGGCAGCCUUCUGGGCCAACACUGACGCUCAUGCACGAAAGCGUGGGGAGCAAACAGG
rnacentral:rRNA from 1 species